AAGAUAGAGGCGCGGUGUUCAUGAGUAGAUAUGCGGAAAAAGGCAAUUGCCGUAUGUUGAAAGGGAACGUCGCCGAAGCAAAGCAGAUUAAGCCUUAAGGCUGUUUUGCUGGGUCGUCGGAUAAUAUCCGCCGGACUGUCACAAUUAAUUUUUGUGAAGCGCUAUCAU
rnacentral:ncRNA from 1 species